GAGGGCGACAACAUGGUGAACUAUGUAAUUAAAGUGCUCGUUAUGGUUAAGGGCCUAACCUUUGUCGAGAAUGAAGUUCUUAAGCAUAUGCAAGUGUCCAAUUUUAUACAGUCUUCCACCUAUAUGGAGGAUAGUAAUUAUAACACUCCGAUUGAUGUAAAAUUCCUUAGUUUAAGGGGACCUAUCCAUGCAAUUGGCAUUAUAACAAAAACAUAAGAACAAAGAAAAAAUGAGUGAGCUUAUGUUU
rnacentral:lncRNA from 1 species